rnacentral:tRNA from 1 species
GCCACCCUAGCUCAGUUGGUAGAGCAGCGGUUUCGUAAACCGCAGGUCGUCGGUUCAAGUCCGACGGGUGGCUCCA